ACGGGUGAGUAACACGUAGGUAAUCUACCUUCGGAUGGGGAAUAACAAUCGGAAACGGUUGCUAAUACCGCAUAAUGCAGCGGCACCUAAUGGUGACAGUUGUUAAAGCGGGGGAUCGAAAGACCUCGCGUCUGAAGAGGAGCCUGCGGCGGAUUAGCUAGUUGGUAGGGUAACGGCCUACCAAGGCGACGAUCCGUAGCCGGCCUGAGAGGGCGGUCGGCCACACUGACACUGACAUACGGGUCAGACUCCUACGGGAGGCAGCAGUCGGGAAUUUUGGGCAAUGGGCGAAAGCCUGACCCAGCAACGCCGCGUGAAGGAUGAAAUCCCUCGGGAUGUAAACUUCGCAAGAACGGGAAGAAUAAGCGAGAGCCAACACCUCUCGUGACGACGGUACCGUUUGUAAGCUCCGGCUAACUCCGUGCCAGCAGCCGCGGUAAUACGGGGGGAGCAAGCGUUGUUCGGAUUUACUGGGCGUAAAGGGCGCGUAGGCGGCCACUGCAAGUCAAUUGUGAAAUCUCCGGGCUUAACUCGGAAAGGUCAACUGAUACUGCAGGGCUAGAGUGCGGAAGGGGCAACUGGAAU
rnacentral:rRNA from 1 species